rnacentral:lncRNA from 1 species
UUUGCCCAAAAAUUUCGCAGAAUGACAGAACUGAAAGGAACUUUUAGAGGCAAUCACUUAGUCAACCUCUUGCUGUUACAGAAAACUUGUCACAGAUUGAGUAUUCCAGAUUGGAGAUGAGAAGAUUUUUGUUAGGAAUGGAGUGGAAGCAGGAUUGUUCAGAGGAAGUAGUUGAACUGCUAUUCAGGUCCAGCAAAUCCUCAGCCAUCCUGGGAGGGAGCUUUAGAUACGACUUUACUCCGUGACAUAAAAGAAGGACUACAGAAAGCUGUAAUAGACCAUACAAUAAAAGCCAUUGUGAUUUGUGGAGCA